GACGAACGCUGGCGGCGUGCUUAGCACAUGCAAGUCGAACGGAAAGGCCUUGCUUUUGUGGGGUGCUCGAGUGGCGAACGGGUGAGUAACACGUGAGUAACCUGCCCUUGACUUUGGGAUAACUUCAGGAAACUGGGGCUAAUACCGGAUAGGAGCUCCUGCUGCAUGGUGGGGGUUGGAAAGUUUCGGCGGUUGGGGAUGGACUCGCGGCUUAUCAGCUUGUUGGUGGGGUAGUGGCUUACCAAGGCUUUGACGGGUAGCCGGCCUGAGAGGGUGACCGGCCACAUUGGGACUGAGAUACGGCCCAGACUCCUACGGGAGGCAGCAGUGGGGAAUAUUGCACAAUGGGCGGAAGCCUGAUGCAGCAACGCCGCGUGCGGGAUGACGGCCUUCGGGUUGUAAACCGCUUUCGCCUGUGACGAAGCGUGAGUGACGGUAAUGGGUAAAGAAGCACCGGCUAACUACGUG
rnacentral:rRNA from 1 species